GGCACCCUACGGGGCGCAGCAGUGAGGAAUAUUGGUCAAUGGGCGCGAGCCUGAACCAGCCAAGUAGCGUGAAGGAUGACUGCCCUACGGGUUGUAAACUUCUUUUAUAAAGGAAUAAAGUGAGGCACGUGUGCCUUUUUGUAUGUACUUUAUGAAUAAGGAUCGGCUAACUCCGUGCCAGCAGCCGCGGUAAUACGGAGGGUGCGCGCGUUAAUCGGAAUUACUGGGCGUAAAGCGCACGUAGGCUGUAUGACAAGUCGAGGGUGAAAUGCCACGGCUCAACC
rnacentral:rRNA from 1 species